rnacentral:rRNA from 1 species
GAUGAACGCUGGCGGCGUGCCUAAUACAUGCAAGUCGAGCGAACAGACGAGGAGCUUGCUCCUCUGACGUAGCGGCGGACGGGUGAGUAACACGUGGAUAACCUACCUAUAAGACUGGGAUAACUUCGGGAAACCGGAGCUAAUACCGGAUAAUAUAUUGAACCGCAUGGUUCAAUAGUGAAAGACGGUUUUGCUGUCACUUAUAGAUGGAUCCGCGCCGCAUUAGCUAGUUGGUAAGGUAACGGCUUACCAAGGCAACGAUGCGUAGCCGACCUGAGAGGGUGAUCGGCCACACUGGAACUGAGACACGGUCCAGACUCCUACGGGAGGCAGCAGUAGGGAAUCUUCCGCAAUGGGCGAAAGCCUGACGGAGCAACGUCGCGUGAGUGAUGAAGGUCUUCGGAUCGUAAAACUCUGUUAUUAGGGAAGAACAAAUGUGUAAGUAACUAUGCACGUCUUGACGGUACCUAAUCAGAAAGCCACGGCUAACUACGUG